CAGCACAUAACAUAAAAACAUUAUAUAUCUACAAGUGUGUUUACUAAAUACAUGUAUUAUUAUGCUAAUGUAAUUUAAUUGAUAAAGGUUUUUUUUAUUUAAGAAAAUCUGAGCAUCACUCAAAAUAACUGUCAACAUGUUUGUCAACUAAACAUGUUUUGUAAACGUUAUACAUUUUAUAAAAAUAUUUAAUAUUUUUAUUAUUGAUAAAGUAUAAAGAACAAAUCAGUGUGAAAACGCAGAUUAUAAAAAGUACAUAAAGUGCCAGCAGAGGAUCCAAAAUAAUGAAAAAAAAAAAAAAACAUCCAAUGCAACUUGGAAAUUGUAGUCAAAAUACAUCUACAGCAGCAUGCUAAAGCAGUACCAACGCCAGGGCAAAAGACUCAAAUUCCCAGAAUGCACCUGCACCCACCCAUUCAUUCCCACCAAUCAGGAUCAACGGCAUUUUUCAAACCGCUACUGACUCGUUUUCAUGCUAAACAGUACGGCUGAGAGGUCAUGUACCAUGUGGUCGACCUUGCUGACGCUGAAGAGGUUUCUGUGUAAAAAUGAUGACAUUGAGACAAACAGACCAGUUCUGGCUGCCGUGGAGGUCAACACACCACUGAUCUACUGGCUGCCCUUCAACGUGAUGCCCAGCCGAUGCCUGACCACCGACGGAACUAGGGCUGCACGAUAAGUCGCAUGUGUUUGUCAGGCGCAUCUCCUCAGUAAUGCCGGUUCCUUGAUUAGUAUUAAAUCGCCAUCAGCUGUUUUCAGAUGUAGCAGCUUUAACUACACAGAGCCGUAGUUCACUGACAAUCGGGGCAAUUUCGCAUUAAUUAUCGCGGACGUAUCGGCUGCGAUAUGUAUGCGAUAUGGCCCAGCUUGUCAGGGAACUACGGCUCUGUAGUUAAAGCUGCUCCAUCUGAAAACAGCUGAUGGCGAUUUAAUACUAAUCAAGGAACCGGCAUUACUGAGGAGAUGCGCCUGACAAACACAUGCGAUUUAUCGUGCAGCCCUAGACGGAACCCGUUAAAUCUCCUUAUCCGUUUACAUCCCAUAUAUAUAUAUGUGUAUAUCUUUUCCUCCUAGGACUUUUUGUUCCUCCCUGAGGUUUUUCUCCUAGGGUUUUUUUAACCCCGGGGAGUCAAGCAACAUUGGCUUAACUUAGCACCCUCUUGUAUACGAGACAUUAUUAAUUUGCUCACUUGUAAAGUUUAUUCAUAGCCGCUGUAUUUUGCUACUUAUAUUGUCUGUCGAUUUUUCUGUUUCCCCUGCUUCUUUUAAUGUAAAGCUGCUUUGAAACAACUACAAAUUGUGAAAAGCGCUAUACAAAAUAAAAUUGAAAUUGAAAUGUCUCUUUCCUGUUUUACAGAUGCAGUGAGGGAGUGAUUCCCCAACAUCGAGGUGGCAGAGAUCCGGGACCUUCUACGGAGGAAGUGCAACAAUGCCAGUUACAAGGCCUCCAGUAGUUCAAAUCAGAGCUAGAUGUCCAUAUAGUACAAGUUGUUCGCAAUUGUUCUCUUCCCGGCAUUUCAAAGAAAGUCGACUGUUUAAGGUUCCCCAUUUUGCCAAUAUCUGUUUUGUGUGUUACUUUUGUGUCAUUAAUAAAGAUCCUUUUUUGAAAUGCA